UUCCGGUUGAUCCCGCCGGACCCGACUGCUAUUUGGGUGAGAAUAAGCCAUGCGAGUUGAAUGGGAUGCCUAAAGUUCCCAUAGCAAACUGCUCAGUAACACAUGAUCAACUUACCCUAUAGAGAAAAAUAACCUCGGGAAACUGAGGAUAAUGUUUCAUAAUUGAAUUGGCUUGGAAAAGUUUUUCAAUGAAAGGGAUAAAAAAAAUGGUUUUUAUCUGCUAUAGGAUAGGAUCGUGUUCGAUUAUGGUUGUUGGUGAGAUAAUGGCUCACCAAGCCGAUAAUCGAUAGGGGCCGUGAGAGCGGGAGCCCCGAGAUGGGUACUGAGACAACGACCCAGGCCUUACGAGGCGCAGCAGGCGCGGAACCUCCGCAAUACACGAAAGUGUGACGGGGUUACCCAAAGUGUUCAAUAGAACUGUGGUAGGUGAGUAAUGUCCCCUACUAGAAAGGAGAGGGCAAGGCUGGUGCCAGCCGCCGCGGUAAAACCAGCUCUUCAAGUGGUCGGGAUAAUUAUUGGGCUUAAAGUGUCCGUAGCCGGUUUAGCAAGUUCCUGGUAAAAUCGGGUAGCUUAACUAUCUGCAUGCUAGGAAUACUGCUAUACUAGAGGGCGGGAGAGGUCUGAGGUACUACAGGGGUAGGGGUGAAAUCUUAUAAUCCUUGUAGGACCACCAGUGGCGAAGGCGUCAGACUGGAACGCGCCUGACGGUGAGGGACGAAAGCCAGGGGAGCGAACCGGAUUAGAUACCCGGGUAGUCCUGGCCGUAAACGAUGCAUACUAGUGAUGGUACGGCCGUGAGCCGCAUCAGUGCCGUAGGGAAACCGCUUAGUGUGCCGCCUGGGAAGUACGUUCGCAAGGCUAAUACUUAAAGGAAUUGGCCGGGAGCACCGCAAGGGUGAAGCCUGGCGGUCUAAUUGGAUUCAUCGCCUGAAAUCACUUAGUGCCGGCG
rnacentral:rRNA from 1 species